UCCGGUUCCGCCAUUUGAAAAAAAACGUUCGUAACUGCUCAGCUGAACCCGAAGCUUGAUGAAGAAGGCCGUCAAUAUUUCAACAAAAACUAACAGAAUAUGGAUCAGAUUCGGACAACGACUUCUUAAGACAUUCACACAACAGGCUAAACAAUUCAAAGAGGGAUCUCUGGAUGAUCGAGCAGCAAGUCCAGCAUUAUGUGGGAAAGAUACUACAGGUGUACACAGAAAAGGCCAUGUUCUUGUACAAGACACGGUUGGAGUUCAUAAAAGAUUAAGCUGCCUCGUGCUAUACAGACUUGGAUAAAAACAAGCUGUCCAAUGAAUGGUGACUACUCAAGAGGAGCCAGAAAGUCAACUAAAGCCAGGGUAUUUUGGGAGUUGAUAUGGCCGGGGAAGGGGGGAGGGGGGGUUUCCAGGGCCCCCCCCCCCCUUCCUUGAGAUCUUGACCGCACAAUCGCGUCUAACAUUGGCACAUGGGUUGUCUAGGGCAUAAUUUACAAAAUUAAAUUGUAAAUUAUUUCACGCAAAUUGUUAGUAAGUGAUAAUACUAAUUUAUGCGUAAUUAGAAUACAAAAUCAUACUUUUUCCUCUAUUGCAUUGACUUUGUACACAAAAUCACGUUUUUGAGCAAUUUUUGGUAUGACAUGUACUUACAUAAUGUCACGUUAUUACAGAACCACGUACCGGGUGACACAAGAUUGGUCUCAAAAGAUGCACAAGACUAGAAAGAGGCAUGUUUUAAAAAAAUUGUGCGACAGCAUGGUCGCAAAAUUUUUGGAAGGGGGGGGGGGUCAAAUUGGUCCAAUUUAACUAAGGGUUAAUAACUGGGAGGCUGUUAGCUGCCUUUUUACUUUCAAGUCUUGCACAUCUUUUGAGACCAAAUUUGUGAUGCCUGGGUACACUGUUCCGAAAUUUCGCAACAUUUUUAUGUAUUAAUCCAACACAAAUACUGUUUCUUGCUAAAAAUUCACAAUUAGUAUACCAGUAAUAUACAUUUAUCAAGUCAAAUUAUUUAAUUACAUUUAUAAUCAUAAAAGCUUUGAUAAAGUAUAAAAAAAAACAAAGAGUUGUAUGUAGGCCUGGGACUUUCGGGUUUUUUCUCUUCGGGUACCCGUGGUAAUUUUCGGGUGGGUACCUGAAAAUCAUGUCACUUGAAAUAUGACUGGUGGAAAAACCCCAUAGGUGACGUCAUCAAGCCAAUGCGAUGCAAGCCAAUUUAUGAAUGAAAAUAUAGUAAGCAUGCGCAUUGCAAGCCUCCCGUGCCCCACGCAGUAUUCCAUCGAAACAAGUUUCAAUACUCUGUCACCUCGUACCAAAAUCGACCUAGAAUUCCACUUUCCUAUAUAUCAUAUGAAUUAUAAAAGGUUUUCUCACCGAUACUGCACAGGUAAGCAAAUUUUUAUUCUUGCUUUUCCGUCAAAAUCUUACGAAGUAGCAUCGAUAUUACAUCGUGUUCGUGAGUUUGUAUCGCUACGUGAACAAAGUCAAUUGAUUUCCGGGUUUCGGAGCGUCAAAUGCGCCAGCCAAUCACGAUCGUGUUCCCAUUUUCGGUUUAUGAUGAACUAAAAAUGGUAACAAGAACGUGAUUGGCUGGUGCUUCGUAGGUCGAUUUUGGUAUGAGGUGACAGAGUAUUGCAGACUUGUUUUGACGUAAUACUGCGUGGGGCUGAGGCUUGCAAUGCGCAUGCUUACUAUAUUUUCAUUCAUAAAUUGGUUUGCGUCGCAGUGGCUGGAUGACGUCACUGCGCUGCAAAAGAAACAUGGCGAUGAUUGAACGAUCUCGGUCACAUCAUCAUCACUUGAAAACUUGUAUAUUUAUGGAUAUUUAGAGGGUAAUUGGUGAAAUUCAAAAUGAGGCUUGUGUACUUUUGUAAUGAGUUACAAUCAUGUCUUACACUACGCAAUACAAAUCAAAUACAUGUACAUUAUACUGGUGAGCAAUUUUCGGGUAUCGGGUAUUGAUUUUUCUACUCGGGUACCCGGGUUUUAGUCCCAGCCCUAGUUGUAUGAAAAUUUUCAAAAAUAAUGAAAGGUAAAAGAAAACAAGAUUACAAUGUCCAUUGCAAGGGGGCUAGUCUAGCUAUUCAGGAUAAUUGGGAUUUUAUUCAGUUUUUAAUUGACAUAACAUUAUGACAAGAUCCCUCCAUUUAGUGUAUAAACAGCACAUGGCCAUGAUUGAAAUUCAUAUAACAUUAAAGUAUGCAAACCAGGCAGCUACAUGUACAUGUAGGACUCACUGCUUGUCAAUUCUAUUGUCUGCCAGGGUCAAGUGACAUACAGUGCACAUGUAUAACAUGUGUGAAAGUACAUAAGAAAAUCAGCUUUUUAUUUUUGUACUGUAACAUUGGGUGAACUGGUGAUCACUUUGGAUAUGAUGCUCUUCAUAUUGGUUUAUUUUAUGUAUAUGAAUUUUUGGAUAAUCAUUAAGAAUUAAAGCCAUUUACUUAAUAUAUGGAAGCAUAAGCCCAUCAAAGAACAGAAUUAUGUCAUGUACAGCUAAUUCAUUUUGCGUGAUAUUACAAUUGUAAUUGUUUACUUGAGCAAGUAAUUUGAAUUGCUGCAUGACCUAAACAAUGACAUGUUCCAAUUCGAAUAGUAACAUGACCUAAAGAAGAGUUACUCCACCUCGAUUGAGAGUGCUUAUGUUAAAUAAUUGAUGUUGCUACUUCAAAUAAUUGAGGUCAAUCAAAUUGGUCAUAAUUAUUCAAGUCAAUUUUGAGCUAUAUGUCAUAAUUAAUUAGGUCAUAUACUAAUUGAAAUUACUAAAUGACUCGAGUAGGUAUGAAUUCACAUUGCCACAUGACCUUAAUUAUUUUAUGUAGCAACAUCAAGUAUUGAACGUCAUUUAGUUAUCAAUUAUGACAUGUAGCAAAUCAAAUUACAUGCCGCAAUUUCGUGUUUAUGAUGGGCUCAUGCUUACAUUCAUAUAUAACCCUUCAAUACGUAGUUGGAGCAAUUCUUAGACAAGAAGACUGUGUAAAAUGAUAUGCCUAUUCAAUGUCAAAAAGGUUAAUGUCUCAAUAGAUUUGAUCUACGUUUUGGCAAAGUAAUCUUAUGUUCAUAUUUUUUCUAACCUAUGGUGAACGUUCUAAAUCAUGUGAAAUUCAUUCAAAAAUAUCUUUCAGUAUUUAUGGACUUAAGUGAAUUCUGAGCAAAAUGAAGUGAUUAUGAUUACGUUCAUGUACUUUAAGUUUAUACUGGUGAUCAACACAUCAUAAUUUCAUCCCUUACUGUAUGUGCACCAUGCAUUAUCUGUACAUGCAGAAGUGGUUAUCCAUUGUUUCAUAACAUGGUUGAGUAAAGGAUGUUCUGCUUUUAGUAUUAAGCCAAUCGGGUGUUGACAAGAAGGGGAAAAUGCAAUUGCUCAGCUAUUACAGUUUUUUUUGCAACCAUAAUACUGGUUAAGCCUUGGUUACAUUCGCCGGCUCGUGGCCUUACGUCGAGUCAAAAUUAACAGUCUUAAUCAUCCUUGUACCAGCUACUACCAGCUACACGUGGGUGGUUUGUACAGGAAUACCUAAAACUGCUGAUUUUGUCUCGCCGUAAGGCAACCGGUCAAGGAAUGUGACCAAGGUAUUAAUAAUAAUCGCUUAUUGUUGUGUUAGAGGGAAGGAUUCUGGGUCGAAUCUAGCUUUCUUUAUGUGAUCUCAAAAUGGCAGCAAUGUAUGAAUAGUGAAAGUAGUUCAUGUGGCAUCUCAAUGUUCAUGGAUAUAAAUCUUUGUACAUGUCUUAUCCUAAAGAUGAAAUGUUACUGCAUUAUUCUAGCAGUCAUUUAUGAUAUCAAAGAUGUUCUAUACUGUGCAUAGUACAGCUCAUACAUAAUAAAGGUAUGUGAAUAUGCUUUUAA